UUACAAUUUAGCAAAAGUGUGGUGGUUCGGUAGGCUCAGCCCAUUGGGUCAUGAUGGGCCCGAGUGGCACCGGCCCGUUAUCCUCCCACUGCCGGGAGAGGGAGGUUUUCGCUGCUCUGUGAAGCCAGCCUCACGCGGACUCCUCCACUCUAGGACCCGCAAGGCCCAAGCCUUCGCUCGGACCGCACGGAUCAACUCUCGGCUUGGAACGGGCGGGCCAGAAUAUUGCCACCACGAGCCCGGCCCGCAAGACCUGAACCCAUGUUCCACCACAUUGUUGCCCCCACUUAGGUCACAAGCCCGCGCAACUGAGCUCGGCGAACCACUUCGUCGUUCGUGAAGUUAAUAAACUGUUGAAUCCGUUGUCCUUCCCACGAUGUGGGACUUCGUUCAGCUUUGUUGGGAUGAAUGGUAAAUCUGGGUAUGAAGUUUCUUUGAGAGGGAAUGCCCGCAGGAAGUCUACCCAUCUCUCUCUUCACUGCCAUCAGACGAGUAAUAAACAAGACGAUGGAACUGAACACAUUGACCUGUGCAGCUUCCAAUGCACAUAUGCUCUGAGCACUCACAUAUUCUGUCGUGUCUCUUUAAGCUCCUGAGCAUUCAGGAUGGAACUGAGUUUUUGGAAUUUGCACGCCAUCUCAAUUCUUUCCUAAUAAAUCAAUCUGAAUAAUAGUAGGCAAUUCCCAUCAUUUGUACGGCCUGAGGAUCACUUUUAAUUGCACUUUUGAAUUCCCAAUUUCUUUAUCAUUCAUGCCACACUUUUUAAGAUUCCGAUUUGAUUCAGCUUCCUUUAGACUAAUAUUGGACAUGAGGUGUAUGUGUCUUGCACGGCUUUUUUGUCUGUGUCUUGCACGGCUUUUCCUCGACACAAGCACAUCUAUUAUGUAUUCAAGAACCACCAUCUUGUCAUAUCAUUUAAACUAAAACCUGAGAAGCAAAUCUUGUAUCUAUUUCCACUUCUUUUAGUCGAAAAUCUAAUCAUAUAUUAAAACUUCACCUUUUUCUUCGGUAUAUAAAAGUAUCGAGUAAAGUUACAAUUUAGCAAUCCAUCUAAUCACAGAGGUUUUUCCAACACCAACCGCAAUUUCAAUGUAAUUUGUUCAGUCAAUUUUCAAUGGCCCGGAUAAUUUGGCAUCACAUCCAGACUGACGUUUUUGAAGACCAGUAUUUUACGGGAGAGAAAACAGAUAAAAAAAAAAACAAAAAUAAAGAGUGAUGGUUCGGUAGGUUCAGCCCAUUGGGUCAUGAAGGGCCCGUGUGGCACCGGCCCGUAAUCCACCCACCGUCAGGAGCGGGAGGUUUUCGCUGCUCUGUGAAGCCAGCCUCACGCGGACCCCUCCACUCUAUGUUGGUGCCUCUAGAUUUGUCGUUGAAUGGUAAAUCUGGGUAUCAAAGUUUCUUUGGGAGGGAAGACCCCAGGAAGUCUAAACCCAGUUUCUCUCUUCUCUGCCAUCAGAAGGAUACUAAACAAAGACGAUGGAAGGAACUAGGCUCUGACAUAUUCUUUCGUGUCUUUUAAGUUCUUGAGACUAUCACACGUGUAAUCUAUUACAUGAGGCCUCAUUAUCAGUAUUUCUUACCAAACAAGUCCCACGGUAGAAUUGGGUUUGAAAAGUAAAGAUUUGAUUUCAAAAGAAUCUCACCUGGAGCCAAAAAAACGCGACUCGACUCCUAAUCGGGGGCGUAUCGCUCUCCUUCAAUCAUCUAAUUCAAAGCAGCAUGCACUUGACUUGAUCCCUCAAGAUGCCAAUUGAACAUAAAGUCUUAAAUCAAUUCGAGGAAAUCUUCGAGCUGGCCCUUUUUGCGCCUCGAUAAUGCAUAGCGUCUCUCCUCCCACUACCAGAUGAAGAUGGCUUCAUAUCCCAAUUAACAUUAUCAAAAAGUGAUUCAUUUUUUCUGUUCAUCAGUUAUUUGAGCAAUUGACAAUCGCUCGUUAUUGACUUAAAACCAAUAGUAAACAAAUCGCAAAAUACCUAAAUCAUCACAAUCCAUCUCGAUGCAUACACAACUCUUAGCUAAAUACGCGAUUUAGCGUAUGACUACGCGAUUUAGUGUAUGACUCGAAGUUUCCUUUCUUUGAUUAUCACAUUUUAUAUUCUCUCGAUCAUGUGCGCGAGAAAAUCUCCAAAGUCUUCUUUUUUUUCCAUGGACCCAGUAAGACAAAUUACAACCCUUCAACUUUCAAACACCAAAAUACAUUAGGGAAACCAAAAUAGGGAGCACAAACUAGUUUUCUAUAUUUUCUACCGCCAGGAGAGCUUCACCUUCGAUCGGCGAUCUUCGAUCAUGUUCGCCACUAAAAAGCGCAGGAGCAUGUGGAAUGCGAGAUCUUCUUUUGUACUCGCGCAAAUGAUAAAUAUAAAAUGAAAACUAAGCAUGAGAGACGAUAGAGAAUAUUAUAAGAUAAAAUUACUAUCAUGGAACAAAUUACUUAGAAAAACGGUCGUGCUUGGAUUUUUUUCUAUUAUGAAGGCAAAAAUAGAAAUUCUAAUUUCUUGCAAUUCAUUCAAGUAUUUUCCUCUUAAAUAUUAAGUCAUGAGCUCUUGAAAGAGUGCAGUAGAGAAGGAAACUUGCUCGUUGGGAUGGCAUUAAGCAACCACUCUUAUGUAAGCAUUAUUAGUUUGGAUUUCAAAUUAAUGCACUUUGAGAAAAACAAACUAAAAAGAACUCAAAAGAAAAAAAAGAGAGGAAAGAAGCCCCUAAAAAUUCAAAACUGUUCAGUCAAUGAGCAUCAAAACUAUAUGGAUGAUGGAAGGCAAGAGGUGUUGAUAUAAUGCUCACAUGAAUUAAGUAAAAUAAAAAUGACACCGUUAAAGAUUGAUACAAGUUUAGGAUUUCUUAUUUCACAAGAUAAAAGCUUAGAAUAAAUGUGUCAUAAUUGAUAUAGUUUGAUUUUUGUUGUCAUAAAAAAUAUUUAAGGAUAAAUAUGCCACGAUAAAUAUGGUCCAAGUUUUUUCAUGGCUUUUGCCCAAAAGAAUAUAUAUACAAUUGGAUGGUUUUAUGUUUUACAGUGUGAGAAUGGAUGGAGAAAUACAUCUUCUCUUUUGUAAUAACAAUAAUAUAAACUUAACACAAUUACCUGUGUGCUGGAAAAAUGAUUUUAGAAAAGCGCGAUUAAGCGGCCUCGGGACGAGUUCGUAUAUCAGGGAAGAAUUGCCCAGAGAAAUUGGCCACACCUUGUCCAGCUGACGUUUCUGGCAGAAAAGUAAGGAUAUUAAUUAUUAAAAAAAAAAAAGGUGGAGAGAAGGAAAGGAAAACAUAAAAAUAAAAAUAAAAAAAGUGGUGGUUCAGUAGGCUUAGCCCAUUGGGUCACGAUGGGCCCGAGAGACACCGGCCCGUUAUCCUUCCACUGUCGAGAGCGGGAGGUUUUCGCUGCUCUGUGAAGCCAGCCUCACGCGGGCCCCUCCACUCUAGGACCCGCGUGGCCCAAGCCUUCGCCCGGACCGCACGGAUCAACUCUCGGCUUGGAAUGGGCGGGCCAGAACAAAGCCACAGCGAGCCCGGCCCGCAGGAGCUAAGCAAAUGUUCCACCACAAUGUUGCCCCCACUCGGGUUACAAGCCCGCGCAACCAGGCUCGGCG
rnacentral:lncRNA from 1 species